UACGUAGGCAGCAAGCGUUGUUCGGAGUUACUGGGCGUAAAGGGUGUGUAGGCGGUUGUUUAAGUUUGGUGUGAAAUCUCCCGGCUCAACUGGGAGGGUGCGCCCGAAUACUGAAUGACUUGGAGUGCGGGAGAGGUGAGUGGAAUUCCUGGUGUAGCGGUGAAAUGCGUAGAUAUCAGGAGGAACACCGGUGGUGUAGACGGCUCACUGGACCGUAACUGACGCUGAGACACGAAGCGUGGGUAGCAAACAGG
rnacentral:rRNA from 1 species